rnacentral:rRNA from 1 species
GGGUCAGUAGGUUGGUCGUGCCACCGGUACGUACUGGUCUCACUGAUUCCUCCUUCCUGAAGAACCGUAAUGCCAUUAAUUUGGUGUUGCGGGGAAACAGGACUGUUACUUUGAAAAAAUUAGAGUGUUUAAAGCAAGCUAACGCUUGAAUACAUUAGCAUGGAAUAAUGAGAUAGGACGAUCGACCCUAUUUUGUUGGUUUCUAGGAUUGACGUA